rnacentral:lncRNA from 1 species
GCACAAUAACAAUACAUAAUUAUGUUGAAAAAUGCCACCUGUUAAUUUCAAAUAGGCCAGUCUCUGGGAGAUUGCCUCCUUUUUCAAAUUUUUUUGCAACCUAGGAAAAAAUGUUUCACAGCAAAACUAGCUGUAAGCAUUCAGGGGCUGGUUCACCCAUCUAUUAGGAAUAAAUCUCUGGAAGAAACUCAAUCAGUCCAAAUUUUAUAGAUGACUCCUUUUCAAAUUAUUGAUUCAAUUGAACUGAUUAUAUUUUCAGAAAUGAAAGAAAAGGCUCUUUUUUACAUUCAGUGCAAAUUGAAGAAGAAGAAGUUCAAAAUAUUCUAAAGGUAGCCUUGCAUAGCUUCGAUAUGAAUACGCUGGGACCAACAGUCUAUUUAGAGUGUUACAGGCCAUAUUUUAUAUUUUUUUCUGGAGAGGCCACAUCCUUUAGAAGAUUUUUUCAAAGUUGAACCAUUCCCAUCUCUAAGAGAUUUUGCAAGUCGCAUUGAGAGCUAUGACUCACUUAAAGAUGAAGUUUAUGAUUUGCGACAAAACAUCCCCCUGAAUUUAAUUGACUUAGAUUGCACCAAAGUGAAUGAUACGCUGUGGAAAAUGAUAAGUCAGUUACAUAUGCAACAAUUACAGAUUAUUUUGCGAACGUCUGCCGCAAUCACAACAAAGAGUAAGAUUUCUCUGUGUAUAAUCAAACAGGAGGAGUUGGAAUCAGUAAAGCAAGUUGACUGGCACUCUACUUUUGCGCCAUGAAAGUUAUGCUAUUUAUUUUUUACAUGCUAAAGGAUAGGAACCUUCAUCUUAAAAGCGUAAGGAGGAAGGAAAGGGGCAUCAAAAAGUCUGUAACCUAGCGUUACCUACUCUAUGAACGGCCCUAAAGUCUCCGAAGUCAAAUUUCGGAAAAAUUGAGUCAGUGACGUUUUAUAUGUAACCAAUAAUUAUUCAAAAUGUGCAAAGUGUGAAAAUUAGGUAAUCUUCUCUAGAGGUGCGUGAGAAAAUGGAGUUUGAGUAGAGUUUUUUGAGAAUUGAGAAAUUGCGAUUACUUUAGAAUCAAUGCAGCCACUGCAUGGUUUUUUCUCCAAUAUCUUGAAAGAGGGACCCUUUGGCUGUGAAAUCUAAUAUUUUUGUGUAUUGAUAAUGAGGUAAUCCUUUAGACAAUUUAAAUAAUUCACAAAUGUCCUAAGGAAACAAUUCUUUAUCACUUGUGUUUACUGAACUCGGCCUUGUACCUUUUGAUCAACUACUUUCCUUUUUUUCUCUUCCAAAGGAUUGCUCUGAAAUUUGAAGGAAUAAUCUCAAGAGUUGGUGAUGUACCUGAGACUACAGCACAACUUUAGAAUUGACCAACUUUAUAA